rnacentral:rRNA from 1 species
CGCGUGCCUAAUACAUGCAAGUCGAACGAGUUCUGAUUAUUGAAAGGUGCUUGCAUCUUGAUUUAAUUUUGAACGAGUGGCGGACGGGUGAGUAACACGUGGGUAACCUGCCCUUAAGUGGGGGAUAACAUUUGGAAACAGAUGCUAAUACCGCAUAAAUCCAAGAACCGCAUGGUUCUUGGCUGAAAGAUGGCGUAAGCUAUCGCUUUUGGAUGGACCCGCGGCGUAUUAGCUAGUUGGUGAGGUAACGGCUCACCAAGGCAAUGAUACGUAGCCGAACUGAGAGGUUGAUCGGCCACAUUGGGACUGAGACACGGCCCAAACUCCUACGGGAGGCAGCAGUAGGGAAUCUUCCACAAUGGACGCAAGUCUGAUGGAGCAACGCCGCGUGAGUGAAGAAGGCUUUCGGGUCGUAAAACUCUGUUGUUGGAGAAGAAUGGUCGGCAGAGUAACUGUUGUCGGCGUGACGGUAUCCAACCAGAAAGCCACGGCUAACUACGUGCCAGCAGCCGCGGUAAUACGUAGGUGGCAAGCGUUAUCCGGAUUUAUUGGGCGUAAAGCGAGCGCAGGCGGUUUUUUAAGUCUGAUGUGAAAGCCCUCGGCUUAACCGAGGAAGUGCAUCGGAAACUGGGAAACUUGAGUGCAGAAGAGGACAGUGGAACUCCAUGUGUAGCGGUGAAAUGCGUAGAUAUAUGGAAGAACACCAGUGGCGAAGGCGGCUGUCUGGUCUGUAACUGACGCUGAGGCUCGAAAGCAUGGGUAGCGAACAGGAUUAGAUACCCUGGUAGUCCAUGCCGUAAACGAUGAAUGCUAGGUGUUGGAGGGUUUCCGCCCUUCAGUGCCGCAGCUAACGCAUUAAGCAUUCCGCCUGGGGAGUACGACCGCAAGGUUGAAACUCAAAGGAAUUGACGGGGGCCCGCACAAGCGGUGGAGCAUGUGGUUUAAUUCGAAGCAACGCGAAGAACCUUACCAGGUCUUGACAUCUUUUGAUCACCUGAGAGAUCAGGUUUCCCCUUCGGGGGCAAAAUGACAGGUGGUGCAUGGUUGUCGUCAGCUCGUGUCGUGAGAUGUUGGGUUAAGUCCCGCAACGAGCGCAACCCUUAUGACUAGUUGCCAGCAUUUAGUUGGGCACUCUAGUAAGACUGCCGGUGACAAACCGGAGGAAGGUGGGGAUGACGUCAAAUCAUCAUGCCCCUUAUGACCUGGGCUACACACGUGCUACAAUGGAUGGUACAACGAGUUGCGAGACCGCGAGGUCAAGCUAAUCUCUUAAAGCCAUUCUCAGUUCGGACUGUAGGCUGCAACUCGCCUACACGAAGUCGGAAUCGCUAGUAAUCGCGGAUCAGCACGCCGCGGUGAAUACGUUCCCGGGCCUUGUACACACCGCCCGUCACACCAUGAGAGUUUGUAACACCCGAAGCCGGUGGCGUAACCCUUUUAGGGAGCGAGCCG